CCCCCCCCUUUUUUUUUGGCAGUUUGUGUGGGGCAGAAAAGCUGCUGCUGGAUCCAUUGCAGUGGCCCACUCCUAUUUGAAAAAAUAUCCUUUUAACCAUGAACUGAAGGCACAGGUGCCCUGGGAGCAUGGCUGAAGCAGAGCCUAUGAAUAUUAUGAACACACAAGAAAAUAAUGAAAUUUCCUGGCAGGUCCAAUCCAGUCUGAGAGGGAGCCCUGAAUGCCGCCGGCUUGGUCAGUCCAUGUGUAUGCCGAAGCUAAGAGUGAGUUUUCACUCCCAGAUGAAGAUGCUCUGGAGGCGGGUCCUGCAGCCCACAAGGCAAAUAUGCCUAGAAAGGCC